rnacentral:rRNA from 1 species
UACGGGGGGGCGAAGCGUUGUUCGGAAUUACUGGGCGUAAAGGGCUCGUAGGCGGCCAACUAAGUCAGACGUGAAAUCCCUCGGCUUAACCGGGGAACUGCAUCUGAUACUGGAUGGCUUGAGUUCGGGAGAGGGAUGCGGAAUUCCAGGUGUAGCGGUGAAAUGCGUAGAUAUCAGGAGGAACACCGGUAGCGAAGGCGGGUCUCUGGGCCGAUAUUGACGCUGAGGAGCGAAAGCGUGGGGAGC